rnacentral:lncRNA from 1 species
CUGAUGAAGAUCAUCAAAGGUUAGUGCUACAUUUAGCUGUGGUUUGGGUUUAUGUGACAUUAUAUGCUAGCUUGAAAAAUGGGUGUCUGAUUAUUUCUGGCUGGGUACUCUGCUGACAUAAUCUAAUGUUUUGCUUUCGUUGUAAAGCCUUUUUGAAAUCGGACAGUGUGGUUAGAUUAACGAGAGUCUUGUCUUUAAAAUGGUGUAAAAUAGUCAUAUGUUUGAAAAAUUGAAGUUUUUGCAUUUUUGAGGAAUUUGAAUAAUGCGCCACGGGAUUACACUGGCUGUUGAGUAGGUGGGACGCAAGCGUCCCACCUAGCACAUAGAGGUUAGGAAGGACGUCUGUAUCUUUGUAGUGACUGGUUGUAUUGAUACACCAUCCAAAGUGUCAUUAAUAACUUCACCUUGCUCAAAAGGAUCUUCAAUGUCUUUUUUAAUUUUAUUUAGGGCACAGAGAUGAGGUAGUCAUUCAAAAAUCAUGUUAAACACUUAUGGCACACAGAGUCCAUGAAACUUAUGUGACUUGUUAAGCAAAUGUUUACUCCUGAACUUACUUAGGCUUGCCAUAACAAAGGGGUUAAAUACUUAUUGACUCCAGACAUUUAAUCUUUUCAUUUUUAAUUAGUUAGUACAAAUUUAUACAAACACAACUGCAUUUUGACUUAUGGGGUUGUGUGUGUGUGUGUGUGUGUGUGUGUGUGUGUGUGUGUGUGUGUGUGUGUGUGUGUGUGUGUGUGAGCCAUUUUAACUUCAGGCUGUAACACAACAAAAUGUCUAAAUACUUUCUGAAGGCACUGUAUAUGCUGCCUAGAACAGAAGGGUUGGUUUGACCAAAGUGCUCAAUUCUAUAUGGAAAUCAACACACAUUGAAAGAGUAAUGGUAGGAAUGACACAGUUUGAGUUUAGAGACUCAGUAAGGUACAGUAGAAACACUGUAUGAAUGAGUAUAACGCAGAAGGACAUGUUUGAGUUUAGAGACUCAGUAAGGUACAGUAGAAACACUGUAUGAAUGAGUGUAACGCAGAAGGACAUGUUUGGAGAGACAAUGUUAGGAUGACACAGUGUGAUGAUAUGAAUGAUAAAGAAAUGGUCACAGUCACACCGAAGUACCAAGGGAGCAAAACAUUUUAUAUUGACAGUUCCUCUACCAAGGGUUGUAUCUGUGGUGUGGCCAUGCCCAUGCCGACGGCAGGAUCACAUGUUAUUUUGUACUAUGACCACAAGAUGGCCCCCUUGCAUCGGAAUAUCGUUUCUUAAAAUCAAACAAAAUCAUUUCUGUGGACAGUCAUUUGUUAUGAACUACCACUGCCAGAAAUACAUUAGAUAACUUUUUAUUUUGUCCUUUUUGAAUAGAUUCAUAUUUUAACCGAUUAACAUUUUGUGUGAUAUGUCUGCUUUAGAUUUUUCUUCCCUGAAGUGGAUGUUUAACACUCAGUGAGAUCUGAAUUCAGUGGAACUGUGAUUGCAGUAGCCUAUGAAGGCAGUAGCUGCUCUUCCAUGAGUAAUGUCUGUGACUGACUAAUGUCAGAUAGACUCCCCAAGCAGAUGCUUCCAGUUUCCACUAUGAGAAGUGUUCUGCGUGUGUUGUGGGGGCAGUAGUUCGUAAACAAAGACACUGCGUAAUGUAGGGUUCGAUUGAAUUCAACUCUCUGACUUAAAUUAGUUGAAGGGAUUUGGACAGUGAUUUCCAUUGUUUAACUGAGGAUGUUGGUUCAAUUUUUUUUCUGCCUGCUUCUCCCUAGAACCACUGGUCUGAAUAUUCCAAUCUGACAGCUAUAAUCACAACAACCUGCUGCAUUAUAACUCUAUUUUCAUUUAAACAUGAUUGUAAAGUCUGAUAAAAGAUAUCGUUGAUGCAUGGUACUGUGUUGAUUUCAUCCAACAUUUCGUAGAGUGUUCUGGUGUAUCGCAAAAGGAAGCUUCUCAGUUAGAGAAAAUCAACUUUAAAAAUGUAUCCAUCCAUAAACAUUUCAACAUCCUGUACACCUGUGUUAGUAUGAAUGACCUGGGACGGGGUGUUCUACUUAGGUCUGGAUUUACCACUUUCUCACCAUCUUCUGAGCAGAAGAAAGAAGAAAACUAUCAAGAAUGAUAAGUCAUUCACCAGAUUUUCUUAUAAUAAUUUUAGGAAAGGAAUACACACACUUCAGACAUAACACAGGCCUUUCCACCUGUGGUGUUCCCUUACAUGUCUCCCUCUCUCCUUUUGCCUUCUCAUUUGAAGAUCAAUCAAACUGCAAGAAGAAGGAUUUGAUGCUCCAGCCUCUGGAUCUACCUUGGUGUGCAAAUCAGCUGGAAUCAGUUAAAAGAGAAACAUGUUGCUUCUGUGGCUGUGGUGGACAAGAGAGAAUACAGUACAGAUGCUCUAAAGUUCAUUAAAUAUUUACACCACUCAUUCAUUAGCAAGCAAUUCAUGUUAUAUAUCGCAUGCAAUAAGUUGUGGAAGGAAAAACAACGUGUCGGCUGUCUGUAGUUUCUGCCCCUGCCUAAGACGAGGAGACUGAAUGACAUAUCUAUGAAAUAUGUGUGCACAUGGAAUACAUGAAUAUAUUGAUAUGUGGAUAGGUGAAAUAUUAUACUUACCACUUUGUCAUUACUGAUGUGUAAUUACUGGGUUGUUCGUGUUGUUAUAGAUGAAAAUUAAAUGUAUUUUCAAUGCCCUUUGGAAACACCAAACCCCAAAGAAUACGGAUGCAUGUGCAUACCUCUUAUCCUCAUGCACAGUCCUAGGUGAACAGUGAUUGAUUUGUCCAAUUUGGUUAGAAGCGUGUCUCCAUGCUUUGAAGCCACGCUUAGCAUUCAUUCUAAUCAUGUGUCCUGACACGUUGAAAUGCAACAUCUGCCUUUUCAGUCCCCCGCCAUACAAUUAGCAAGAAAAGAUCAAUGGAUUGGCUUGCUACCAUUUUGCAUAUGAACAACAAAGCAUUUGUAAUGAGUAUAGAUGGUGCUUCAGUUUACCUGAUAUCCUUGGUUUACAAACUGAACUUCUCAAAAUAACUUGUUUGAAACAGUCAAUGAGCCCCCAUAACAUUGGGGGUCAAGAAAUGUACCUAAUCAGGACAUUUUGGGGACCCCAAGAUCAUCUCCAGUAUGAUAUUGUCCACAAGCCGGCAAUCCAGUCUUUUUUUUCUAUACAGUAUACACUCCCAUACGUGUUUAUUUGGACAGUGAAGCGAAAACUUUUAAUUUGUCUCUAUACUCCAGCAUUUUGGAUUUGAGAUCAAAUGUUUCAUAUGAGGCGACGGUACAGAAUGUCACCUUUUAUUUGAGGGUAUUUUCAUACAUAUCUGUUUUACAAUUUAUAAAUGAAAGCACUUUAUUUAUCUAGUCCCCCAUUUGAAGGUGUCAUAAGUAUUUGGACAAAUUCACUUAUAGUCUAUUAAAGUAGUCAAAAGUGUAGUAUUUUGUCCCAUAAUACUAUAGCACACAAUGACUACAUCAAGCUUGUGACUCUACAAACUUAUUGGAUGCAUUUGCAGUUUGUUUUGGUUGUGUCAUGACUUCUGCCAAAGUCGGUCCCUCUCCUUGUUCAGGCAGCGUUCGGCGGUCGACGUCACCAGCUUUCUAGCCAUCGCCGAUCCACUUUUCAUUUUCCAUUUGUUUUGUCUUUGUUUUCUACACACCUGGUUUCUAUUCCCCAAUUACAUGUUCAUUAUUUAACCCUCUGUUUCCCCCAUGUUUGUGUGCAUGUUUGUAUAUAAUGUUCAGGUCGUUACUUGUUGGCUGGUAUUGUUUGCCGGGUUCGUAAUUACGCACGUGAUUUACGAGUGACCGGCUAUUUCACGCACCUUUAGUAUUUGUUUUAUACUGGUGCUGUUCGUGAAAUAAAUUACCUUGUACACUCAUCUCUGCUC